rnacentral:rRNA from 1 species
AUGAACGCUGGCGGCGUGCCUAAUACAUGCAAGUCGAGCGAACAGACGAGGAGCUUACUCCUCUGACGUUAGCGGCGGACGGGUGAGUAACACGUGGAUAACCUACCUAUAAGACUGGGAUAACUUCGGGAAACCGGAGCUAAUACCGGAUAACAUGUUGAACCGCAUGGUUCAACAGUGAAAGACGGUCUUGCUGUCACUUAUAGAUGGAUCCGCGUCGCAUUAGCUAGUUGGUAAGGUAACGGCUUACCAAGGCAACGAUGCGUAGCCGACCUGAGAGGGUGAUCGGCCACACUGGAACUGAGACACGGUCCAGACUCCUACGGGAGGCAGCAGUAGGGAAUCUUCCGCAAUGGGCGAAAGCCUGACGGAGCAACGCCGCGUGAGUGAAGAAGGUCUUCGGAUCGUAAAACUCUGUUAUUAGGGAAGAACAAAUGUGUAAGUGACUAUGCACGUCUUGACGGUACCUAAUCAGAAAGCCACGGCUAACUACGUG